UAUAUAUUCACGUGUUCAUCGCGCCAAUUUUAUAGGUUAUGUGAUUUCCCUGUGUAAAAGGUGUUGAUAUCAGGUGUAAUAUAUGUUUUUUUUUGUGUAAUUUGGCAAUUAGUGUCGUUGAUAUACAGUUUUAGAAGUAACUAUACCUAAAAUAAUAGUUAUUGACGACAUUUUGGACCAAAUAGCGCCUCUCUCAUUUUAUGAUUCCGAUGAAUCGGAUAAUGAGGACGAAGAAGAAAACAUGACGUUAGAACAAAUUAGACGCAAAAUGUUGCCUUAUACAAAUCAGGUUUUAGAAAUGUCUUCUAAACCAGCAUCAAAAAAAGGAGAAAACUUCAGCAUUCCCAGGUAAACCAUAAUACC